GGGUACAUAGCUCAGCUGGUUAGAGCACUUCACUGAUAAUGAAGAGGUCCCUGGUUCGAGUCCAGGUGUACCCA
rnacentral:tRNA from 3 species